rnacentral:lncRNA from 1 species
CACACACACACACACACACACACACACAGAGGCAUACACAGAGGCAUACACACACUAGGGGACAAGGGACAGGGGAGGAAGGAGACUUACUAUUCAUUGUUAGCCCUUCCGCAUUAUUAAUAAUUCAAAUUUAUACUAUGUGAAUGAUUACCUAUUCAAAGUGAGUGAAUGCAUGCAUGAAUGAGCGUAAGUCUCCUUGACAAACUCCGCAGGACUUGUUUUGGGGCUUCCUUAGCAAUAUUUCCAGUCUUGAAGGUGACAGAGGCCAGUUACCCACAGUUUGGGGUUGAUCUAUUCCAAUUCUCAGGAGGUAUGAGUCCAUGUUUAAGCUCAUGAAGUCCCAUUAACCCUGAUGAACUUUCGCCCUUGGCCUCCUGAACUACAUGAGUCAGCUUUCCACAGAGUCUGGGCUCUCAAAAUUGUGCAUGAGAAUUACUUGGAGGCCUUAUUAACUGCACAACUUUCCAGCCUAACCUCCAGACACUCAGAUUCAAACGUGGGGUGCGGCCGGGGGGCACCACCACCUGGAAAGAAACUUUCAAAGCCCCUGGGGAGAAACUGGUGAGUCUGCCUCCGUUCAGAACUAGCCUGAGAGCCUGCCAGAUUGGGGAAGAAAGCUGUUCUGAAACGUGGAUCCGUCCCUGCAAUAUUCUCCGUAUUCAUCGUCUUUACCCCAUAUCCACCUAACUAAAAACUGAGUACUCCACCCCCCACACCCCGCAGGUAAUUUAGGAUUGUACUGGUGAGCGCAGGGGCUGCAAGGGUGCACGGAGAGCUGCCCGCGCAGGCGACGUCCUGUUUGCCUUUCCGGUUCCUCGGCCGGCCGGCUCCUUUAAAAUAAAUAAUGCGUGCAUGCAUACAUACAGACGUACGGACGCAAGCAAGUUACCCUCUAGGCUGCGGGCUCCCUGGAAUCUCCACAAGUUGCUCCCAUCAUGGCAGAACUCACGGUGGAGACGCGGACCAGUGUGGACUGGCAGAAGCGCUGCCUGGCCCUAGAAACCCAGCUUUUCCGGUUCCGACUGCAGGCCAGCAAGAUCAGAGAGCUGCUGGCCGACAAGGUGAGUCCUGGGGAGCAGGUAGUCUCCAAGGUCCCUGAAGAAAUCACUGUCACAGAGGAGAGUAGGGGAAGGCCAACUUUCUUUUCAUUUUUUGUUUUUUAGAGUUUUGAUUGAUUGGUUGAUUGAUUAUAAUAUAUUUGACAUAUUGUGUAAUUCAAGAUGUACAACAUGUUAAUUUGAUCCAUUUAUAUAUUAUAAUAUGAUCACCAUUUCAGCAAUAAUUAGCUUGUCUAUCAUAUUACAUAAUUAUCAUUUCCUUUUAGUGGUUGGAAUAAUUACAUUCUAGUCUCAGCAAGUUUGAUGACGAUUGCACAAUGAAAAGUGAAAGUGUUAGUCACUCAGUCAUGUCCAACUCUUUGAGACCC